UUCUGGCUUGGGAUAAUUGGUCUUCUUUUGUCUUUUUUUUAACCUACAGUAUACUUUCAACUUUUUUUUACCAAAUCAUCAGAUUGACAGAUUUUACCAACAUCGUCUUUGGUGAAUUUUGUCUAGAUGUUUUUGCCAAAACUUUCAGAUACAUCAUUAUCUUUGAUCAAAAAUUGGACUGGAAUGGCAUUUAUCUGUUUUGAUGAUCCUCCCUGGCAUGCGGC
rnacentral:lncRNA from 1 species